CCCAAGGCCGAACUUUAAAGACUCGUUAGGAAGAAAUGUAAAUGAACAGAGUUUUGAAAUGCAAGCCUGCAUUGUUAGAGAUAGAAGAGGGUCUUGUGAUGUAA